CUGAAACCGAAGGUCGAGGGUAUGUGAAUUUAUCCAAACGGUCAGUGAAUGGGGACGGAUUAUACACGUUUGAAACGGGCUACACUAAAGGAGCUAUUGGAAGCAAGGGGAAUCAUUGCCAGCAAUAAAACUAAAGCCAUCCUCGUUGCUGAACUCAUGGAGGGAGACAGAGCAGCUGCUGCAGCACCUCCUGUGGAAACUACACAGACG